rnacentral:rRNA from 1 species
AGUGAACGCUGGCGGUAGGCCUAACACAUGCAAGUCGAACGGCAGCACAGUAAGAGCUUGCUCUUACGGGUGGCGAGUGGCGGACGGGUGAGGAAUACAUCGGAAUCUACUUUUUCGUGGGGGAUAACGUAGGGAAACUUACGCUCAUACCGCAUACGACCUACGGGUGAAAGCAGGGGAUCUUCGGACCUUGCGCGAUUGAAUGAGCCGAUGUCGGAUUAGCUAGUUGGCGGGGUAAAGGCCCACCAAGGCGACGAUCCGUAGCUGGUCUGAGAGGAUGAUCAGCCACACUGGAACUGAGACACGGUCCAGACUCCUACGGGAGGCAGCAGUGGGGAAUAUUGGACAAUGGGCGCAAGCCUGAUCCAGCCAUACCGCGUGGGUGAAGAAGGCCUUCGGGUUGUAAAGCCCUUUUGUUGGGAAAGAAAAGCAGCAGGUUAAGACCCCGCUGUUCUGACGGUACCCAAAGAAUAAGCACCGGCUAACUUCGUG